rnacentral:misc_RNA from 1 species
UCCGGGUUGAACCCGGCGGUCCCGCCAGAUCGGUAACUGGCAGCGGGGGUUGCGCUCGUUGCGGGACUUAACCCAACACCUCACGGCACGAGCUGACGACAGCCAUGCGGCACCUGUGUGUAGGUCCCUUACGGGAAAGAAUCCAUCUCUGGAAACCGUCCUACCAUGUCAAACGCUGGUAAGGUUCUGCGCGUUGCUUCGAAUUAAACCACACGCUCCGCCGCUUGUGCGGGCCCCCGUCAAUUCCUUUGAGUUUUAGCCUUGCGGCCGUACUCCCCAGGCGGGAUGCUUAAAGCGUUAGCUACGGCACAGAGGGGGUCGACACCCCCCACACCUAGCAUCCACCGUUUAGGGCGUGGACUAC